AUGAACGCUGGCGGCGUGCCUAAUACAUGCAAGUCGCGCGAACGGACGAGAAGCUUGCUUCUCUGAUGUUAGCGGCGGACGGGUGAGUAACACGUGGAUAACCUACCUAUAAGACUGGGAUAACUUCGGGAAACCGGAGCUAAUACCGGAUAAUAUUUUGAACCGCAUGGUUCAAAAGUGAAAGACGGUCUUGCUGUCACUUAUAGAUGGAUCCGCGCUGCAUUAGCUAGUUGGUAAGGUAACGGCUUACCAAGGCAACGAUGCAUAGCAGACCUGAGAGGGUGGUCGGCCACACUGGAACUGAGACACGGCCCAGAGUCCUACGGGGGGCAGCAGUAGGGAAUCUUCCGCAAUGGGCGAAAGCCGGACGGAGCAACGCCGCGUGAGUGAUGAAGGUCUUAGGAUCGGAAAACUCUGUUAUUAGUGAAGAACAUAUGUGUAAGUAACUGUGCACAUCUUGACGGUACCUAAUCAGAAAGCCACGGCUAACUACGUG
rnacentral:rRNA from 1 species